UACGAAGGGGGCUAGCGUUGCUCGGAAUCACUGGGCGUAAAGCGCACGUAGGCGGACUCUUAAGUCGGGUGUGAAAACUCCAGGCUCAACUUGGAGAUGCCACCCGAUACUGCUCUGACUUGAGUUCGGUAGGGGAGUGGGGAAUUCCUGGUGUAGCGGUGAAAUGCGCAGAUAUCAGGAGGAACACCGGUGGCGAAGGCGCCACUCUGGGCCGAAACUGACGCUGAGGAGCGAAAGCGUGGGUAGCAAACAGG
rnacentral:rRNA from 1 species